rnacentral:rRNA from 1 species
AAUCAACGCUGGCGGCGUGCCUCAGACAUGCAAGUCGAACGAGAAGUCCCCUUCGGGGGAUGGACAGUGGCGCACGGGUGAGUAACACGUGGGUAAUUUACCUUUGGUGGGGAACAACAGCCGGAAACGGCUGCUAAUACCGCAUAAUGCAGCGGCUCGACAUCGAGACAGUUGUUAAAGCGGGGGAUCGCAAGACCUCGCGCCUGAAGAGAAGCCCGCGGCAGAUUAGCUAGUUGGUAGGGUAAUGGCCUACCAAGGCGACGAUCUGUAACCGGCCUGAGAGGGCGGUACGGUCACACUGACACU